rnacentral:tRNA from 1 species
GCCCAGAUAGCUCUAUUGGUAGAGCAUCAGACUUUUAGUAUGAGGGUCCAGGAUUCAGGCCCCUGUUUGGGAG